GGGAAACCGAGUCUUAAUUGGGCGUUAAGUUGCAGGGUAUAGACCCGAAACCCGGUGAUCUAGCCAUGGGCAGGUUGAAGGUUGGGUAACACUAACUGGAGGACCGAACCGACUAAUGUUGAAAAAUUAGCGGAUGACCUGUGGCUGGGGGUGAAAGGCCAAUCAAACCGGGAGAUAGCUGGUUCUCCCCGAAAGCUAUUUAGGUAGCGCCUCGUGAAUUCAUCUCCGGGGGUAGAGCACUGUUUCGGCUAGGGGGCCAUCCCGGCUUACCAACCCGAUGCAAACUGCGAAUACCGGAGAAUGUUAUCACGGGAGACACACGGCGGGUGCUAACGUCCGUCGUGAAGAGGGAAACAACCCAGACCGCCAGCUAAGGUCCCAAAGUCAUGGUUAAGUGGGAAACGAUGUGGGAAGGCCCAGACAGCCAGGAUGUUGGCUUAGAAGCAGCCAUCAUUUAAAGAAAGCGUAAUAGCUCACUGGUCGAGUCGGCCUGCGCGGAAGAUGUAACGGGGCUAAACCAUG
rnacentral:rRNA from 3 species